rnacentral:rRNA from 1 species
UACAGAGGGUGCAAGCGUUAAUCGGAUUGACUGGGCGUAAAGGGCGUGUAGGUGGUUAUGUAAGUUAAUUGUGAAAGACCAGGGCUCAACCUGGGGUGCCAAUUAAGACUGCAUGGCUUGAGUAGGGGAGAGGAAAGUGGAAUUUCCGGUGUAGCGGUAAAAUGCGUAGAUAUCGGAAGGAACACCAGUGGCGAAGGCGGCUUUCUGGCCCACUACUGACACUGAGGCGCGAAAGCGUGGGAGCAAACAGG